GCCAUGUGGAUUUUCUGUAGGAAUUUCACACGAUUUAAUUCUGAGGGGCUGGACAUACUAAAAAACAAAGGCAAAAUGGACAUUGAACAGUAAAUUGAAGGAACAGCACACCAUAGGUUUCUACUCAAAGGCAAUUUGGGGUCCUCUAUUCAGCAUGUUGUGGCACUGUCAGAAUACUGUGGUGUUUAAGGUGAGGAGGGGCCUUCAAGAUUUGAAGUUUUUACAAAAGAGGAUGAUGUGAAAGGAAAAUUGCAUGAAACACUAGUGAACAGCAGCUCAGUACCAUCACGCUACAGCCACAGAUUAAAAUAUUUGGAGCUCAGGACCCUUACGAACGCCUUCACACACCUGAGGCUUUGGGGAAGGCACAGCUGCGGCCGCCUUUCCCUCAGGAGCCUCACAGCGCACUGAACACGUGAAGAAACUUCUGGAGCUCUGAGGGGGGCGGCUCCUGCACCUGUGAGGGGCCGCAGUGCCAGUCGUGCUUUUCUCUCUCUGGUGCCGGCUGGGAAGUGCUGUUUUGCUCUUCAGACACCUGAAAGGACCCUGAAAGCUGCAAGUUGCAUAUAUUCUUGAGUUGCUUUAUCUACUCAUUUAAGGAUUGCAUGGGAAAAAAAACUGGGCUGCUAUACCUGGAGACAUGAGCAAGAACUGGAAUUCAGAACUGAUGAGGCCCCAGAAUUGGACAUGAUACUGCAGGUGGAGUCUCACAAGAGCAGAGCAGAAGGGCAGAAUCAGCUCCAUGGACCUGCUGGUCUCACUUCUCUUGAUGCAAGAUACUUCUUUUGAUACAAGAGAUAGUUGUUGCUAUCAGGGACAUCAGUAUGACUUUACUGAUGAUGACCUGGAAUAUAUGAUUAAUCAUGUUGACGUCUGCAGCAGGGAUGAGAUUUGGAGGCCACUCCUGGAAUACUCAGUAAGGAUCUCCCCUGGCCUAUCAACUGCCCCAAGAUGGAGCUGCAUGCAUUCCAUCUGCUCCUCUGCAUGGAGCAUGACUUCUCCUCACCUUUGCAGCCACCCUUUCCUGAAGAGCCUCUUUUUUCUUUUUCCCAAGUUCAAUUUGUGCAGACAUAAGCAAGAAGCUACAGCAAAACUAAGGAAAUGUGCAUGUAAUGUAAAGUAAGUCCUGCAGCUAUGAAGCUAUUUCAUUCUUGGAGGAACUUGAGUCUGGAUAGCCACCAAAGAGGGCAGGUUGUAUUGAUUUUAUGACAUUCACUCCACUAAGGGUUGCUUUGUUUUCAUCAACAAUAGUAUCAGUUAUCCUAAUUUCUGGAAGCAAUGCAAAUGUUUACUCCAAAAGGUAUAAACAUAUAUAAUGUUUACUGUCUUGUAAACCACAAAGAGUUAGUAAAUACAUUUUGUUCCAUACUUUGUUAUCUGUAUAAAGCUACACUGUACAAGGCUGUCAUCUAGGUCAAAGAGAGAGGAACAAUGUGAGAUAAUGAAAAGAGUAGUAAAUACAAGUUAUUACUUAAUAGGCUCAUGUAAUUACCAAGGGUGGGGGUAGAAAAAAAUGGUGUUAUCAGUGGUAAAUAGAAUAAGUAAAAGAAAGGUGGUGGGUUUUUAUUUUGUUUGUUUGUUUGUUUUUAAUUUAAAAAAAAAAUAGAUCUGGGGUUAAAGAUAAUAUUUUUAAUAACUUGUGCAAAAAAUAACAGUUAUGACAGGAUUUGAAAUAAAAAUUGUUUCUAGUCCUUAUGAAACAAAGGUUAGCAGCUAUAAAUGGGGAGGAUGAGAGGAAACGUUUACUAAAGUGCACCAUGUGUAAUCAUCAAGCCUAAAUUACUUAAAUCCAGGAGUCAUAGAAAUCUAUGUAGUCCCAGACCACAAAUAAUUGUAUCAGUAACUAAUAAUAAAUAUUAGUAACAAGAGUUGCACCAAAAAAUUGAGGUUGUAAAAUUCCAGUAUGGGAUGAAGUGAAAAUCAUAAUUUGGGAAUAAUAAUGUAUCAAGAUUAAUGUUUAUUCUAGGUAAGAAAUGAUUGAGUUGGAACUUUAAAUAAGACUGGUUAUUACAAUACUGAUUCUUACAUUACUUGUCUGUUUUGGUGGAAGAUGUCCUCUGAAGCUUUCCUUUCUGUAUUUGUUUGAUCUGACAGACUUGCAGACGUGGUCAAAACUCUCAAAGAGAGUCAGUAUCAUAAUGUCUAUAUUUCUCCAUCAAAUAUGGAGAAAAUCUCUAUUUUGAUUAAAAGCUUUCAUUAUGUUCAUUAACAAAGUAUAUUGCAGAAUAACUCCCUCAGAAAAGGCAAAUUUAAGUUGCUAGUGGGAAAAAUAAGGUACUGGGUUGUUACUGAGGAAUUAAUUUUUAUUGGAGACAUAUACUCCAAUUGGUGGAGUUACGUAUAGAAUUUUCAUUGAAGUUUUCAAAUGAUACAACAUUUGUGAGGUAGAAAAUGAUGAGAAGGAUGAGAUACUGAUGCAGAGCAAGCUAUAAUUCGCACUGAUGACCUAACUGCUCAGUAGCAGCCAUGCAAGUGGAGCAUAUUCCAUGCAUGAGCCCAUCCUCCCUCAGGGCAAAAGUUAGAACUGUAUUAUCUCUUCCUCUCUUCCUCCAGUGCAUCUGGUCUCAAGAAUGACCUGGAGCACUUAAUUAAGUGGCCACAAUUGAAUACUGAAAUGCAUAGUGAUAUGCAUUUCAAAAUGAAGACCACACACUGUGCUUACAAAGUUGGAGCUCCUAUGUUGAAAUACAGUCAGUUAAAAAGAGUUUUAAUGGUUAUUAUGAGUAGUCACACUAUUUAAAUUCAUUUCAGAGUUGAUUCAAGAAAUGCACGCCAAUAAUGAACAAGCUAAAGAAAGAGAGAACCUCGCUAAUUAAAAGAUUCUGCAUUUUUUUACCUAGCUGUUCUAAAAGUACCACAGUUCAAAAGGAAUAUAAAACUGAUCAAGUGGGAAUAAAGAAAAUUCAAGAAACACAUCCAGAAUUCGGAAAAUCAAGCCCUUUGCCAUAAAGAGUUGUCUUAUGAAAGAUGAAGUUGAAAGACUUUCUUUCUCUUCAGAAGUGCUUAUAUAUGGUUGCAUUCAGAAAUUGUGAUGCAUGAAAGUUCUUUCUAUUCAAAGACCAGUAACACAUUAGAGAAAUAUAUUGCUUAAAUGGAGUUAUGGUUUCAUAGUAGUCUGACAGAUGAUGCAGAAAUGCAACUUAUCAUUCAGAAUUUUUGAUGUAGUAGAACAGCUUUGUAAUAUGUGUAGUAUCUAAUUCAACUUUUUGGAAGAAAUCUUCAGCCUGUGUGCACUGAGGGAUCACACUAUAUCUUUGAGGUGGUCUCCUGCACAUUUCUGGGGCAUUUAGCGAUAUUCUUUUUACUCUAAAUACUCUCAUAAAACUUAGCUUGAGAUACCUGUAGCAUUUAUCAGUCAGUCUCAUGCUUCAGAGUUAAUUAGUCAUUGACUAAUCAGAAAUUAAUACUGGUUUAGCCUUCUGCAGGUUUAUUGCUUUGCCCUGAAUUGCUGGAUCUUUCUCCCUUCUGAAGCACUGUAUUGGGGUUGGGUUUGUUUUUGGUUGGUUGGUUUUUUGUUUUCCAGGUGAAGAUAAGAUGAUAAACUGUGGAUUCUGAAGGGUAUUAGAAUUACUGUUCAGCUUGGAUCAGAGUAGAGCAAGCCUUUCUUCAGCAUUCUCUGUGGUCAUAAUGUCAAUCAGUGCCAAAGAGAAAGAGGUGACUGACUGGCUGAUCAAUGAAUAUGCAUGGAUCCUAACAGUAAAGGAGCUCCUGGUGGGCUCUGAGGUGCCUGUUUUUCACUGUUGUAGCAGAAAUGCUAAGUCAUAGCCUGAACCAGUGAUUGAGCACCUGGUGGAAGGCAGGGCCAACCCAGGGGAGCUCAGCUGCAUGUGGAGCACCUGAGUGAUUGGAAGGCAUGGAGCCAGGAUCCACCCCUUCCCAGACUUCAUUUAAGGGUUAGCAGUGGAGGUGAGGAUAUCUUGUUGGAGGUUACUGCUUACUGAAGGUCUUCACAAGUGUAUGCUGGUGGAACAAUACCAAGUUAUCUCUCAAACUUCCAAAGCUGGCUGGAGCUGGAUGUAAGGUUUUUACAAGGUAACCACCAAAAGCAGUAAAGUGAAAGCUACAGAACUGGCAGACAUCGGUAUCUAAUAGCUGGUGUCCUUCCUCCUUUCCUGCUGUUACAUAUGCUCUGUGAAAUGGUGUCAAUGAACAGAAGACAACCAAGCCUGCUUUUUCUUUUCCCAACUCAUCAUACAGUGUACCUUGUCUCACCUCCCAGCAAACUGACAGCAACCUGUACCCAACAUGAAAAAAAAAAAUAAGCAGAUAGCACUCAAGCAGCAAAAUCAACAUUCUUAUUCUUCAGUUAAUGACUAAUGUGAGCAAGAUGAGGUCCAGCAGCACUCCAACAGAACAGAAGAGAGUCCUUUAUUCCCAAAGCAUCAAUGAUAUGGUCAAUAGUUAAAUCCAAUAAGUGAUAUUUUUCCCCUCUUCUUGAACCUAAAAAUUAAGAAAUGAGAGCUCUACAGCUCUUUUUCUUACCUGUAUAUGAAUUACUUGACUGACAUUGCCUUUCAAAAAGAGCUGCAAAUAUGUUAAGCCAGGAGGGUAAAGAAAAUGAAUCCUACUCAUUAAUUAGCAUUACUACAUAGUCCAAGUAUGCACAAUGUGGAUUUGAAGAUGGAUCUCCACCUUUUACGUAUAACCUGGCAGGCGUACAAGUGACAAUGUAUCGUAGCAUUUUGUGUAAACCCUUGUGAAAGUUCUGUCCUUGGUGAGAUACAGAUCUAGGAGAACCAACAUACAGAUGGACAGGCGAUCAAGAAAAAAACAAACAGGAAAUAGCAGGCUGAAGAGAAGAUACACACAUGCAAAGAAAUAGUGCUUAAGUUCUUCUAAGGUCUGAUAAGAGGAGACUGAUGGUCCAGCUGAACCUGCAAAAAGUGAUAGAACUCCAAAUUGUACUGAAUUUUUUCAAAGCAACUGGUACAUAGUAGCAUCAACAAUAGGUUGUAUCACAUGGAUCAUAGCCAGGAGGGUAGAGGCUGCAGUAUUCUGACAGACCCUGGUGUAAUACAUGCACCCUAAUGGGUCUCCCAGACCUACCUCUAGGCCACUCUUUCAGUUGGCCUCCAGCUGUUACUCCAUCCACAUAACUGCAGUACUCACAUCUGGACAUGUGCAAGACAGUUCCUAAUCAACGUUUUCCAGGAACAGGCAGCUAAUGGUCAAAAUGGCAAGAAACUGAAACUCCAUCCUUAUUGAAUCAAAGAUUAAGAAAUACUUGUAGAUGAAGAUUUCAGGUUCAAUUUUUUCUCUCUAUAGAAAUAGUCUCUCCCCCUCUACAAGGAGCAGAGAGCAGAUUUCCCCAAACCUCAAAGAUGAUGUUUGGGUCUUGGAAUGCAGCCUGGAGAAAGAAAGUCUGCAGGACACCAUACUGAACAUGGCCCCUGGGCAAGUGUCUGCACAUUUUCAUGGAGAUUCAGUCACUUAACUAGUAUAAAAGUCAGAGUGUACAGUUUGUUUCUUCUUUCUGGUCACUUUUAUCUUUAGAAGACUUUGUAACGGUCUAUAUUCCAACUUUUCAAUAAUGAGACCUUCUUACAUAAUUGUUUGGACCUUUAUAUAGCAAAUCAAACUUCUCUUAACUGACGUUUUUUGGUGGAGGAAGUUGAUUCAGAUGUGGCAAGGAUAGUCUGAGCUCACAUUAUUUGGUAGAUCCAGUUCAGUAAUAAUUAGGUGCAGGCUUUAUCCAGCAUUGCAACACUUAAUGAAGAAAACCAUUAGCAUCAGCAAGGGUGAAGAGAGAUAGAGUCCUAAAAAGAUGUUCCUAGUGCACUGAUUUCACUCAACAAAUACAGAAAAACACAAAUAUUCCACCUAGUAUUUCUUUCUCUCCCAUAAUCUGUUCCUAUUUCUCCACUUCUAAAACACAUAGCAACAUACUGGAAUAAGCUCUGCAAGUUCAUUACCUAAUGUUGCAUUUUUGUCCAAAGAAUGUCACCGUACAUCCAGUCUUGUUUUCACCAUUAAUUUGGCAGCACCAUGUAGCAGAAGUCUGAUGAGACACCUUCCAAACAAUCUCACUCACUUAUUCUCUCCUAAUGUAUCCAAACAGCCUAACUGGAACUCACAGGGAAUAUUACAGACAUUUUAGUAUCAUACGUAUAUUUGUAUGUAAAAUUUAUGCCAAUACUGGCAAUAAAAAAUACCAAGAGCUUUGAGUUUAAUUUGAUGGCAGAAAUAGAAAUCAGAAUCUGGUUAAUAUCUUCAAAAGCCAGUGUUAAUUGGCUGAUUAGUUGGAGAAUGAGGAAAUAAUUUUUUCAGCCACCAGUUUAAGUGAGAGCAUUAAGUUAUGCAAAAUAACUUUGAGAAUCAAAUAAUUAGACAAAUAAUACACAAGGCCAGUAAUGUGUGACCAUCAGCAAACAGCAAAUGUAUGAACAAUGGAACAGUAUUAUUCUUUUAAUACUGUUUAGCUGUAAAGAAUCCCUGUGUAUCCCUUGGAUUAAUUGUUUUUUCAAGUUAUUACAUUCAAUCAAAUGUAUGAGAAAGCAAACCAUUGAUUUACUGCUGUCAAGGAGUACUUAGUGUAGCAGUUUAAACAAAGCAUGGCUGUCUCCAUAUAUAAUUCAUGUUUAUUAUGAAUGUAAAGGAGAAGAAAAAUGCUACAAGUGUACGUGUAGGCUCAGCUAUGUAAAUUCCUGUUGUUUUCUGAACGUAAUAAAUACAGUGUUUACCUGUGGAAAUAAUCAAACAAAUUUCCUGCACUGAAUAGGUACUUUCCAGAAGUCAGUGUUAAAAACAUUCUCCAAACACUGAUUGCUUCAUUCCCAACUAAAGCAAAUCAUUUGUUUUUUAAAAGCUGUCUGGAUUUGCUGCUUUAUUCUUAAUGUGCUUGACUCAUAUGCAUCACAGAUCUUCAAAUGGAUCUAAAAACAGGUCCUAGGUUACUUUUUUUUUUUUUUUUUUUUUUUUGUGAGGGAUAGUACUGAUUUAAAGAAUAGUUCAGUCUUCUUCCCCCCCUUCUUGAAACCUCGUUCUUGCGUUAUUGAGCUUUUGUAAUUCAAGUAGCGUUUAGAUAUAAAAAGGGCAUUCAGAUCCUGUCACUCUCAAAAACCUGAAUGUUCAGUUGAGUUAUAUUUUGGAUUUAGGCUAGUAAUAUAUCAGUGGUUAUGUCAAGACGUCUUUGAAAUGCUGAACUUCUGGUUCACUCGAUUUCAUUAGCUGAUGUUUUCUCCUUUCCCAGCUCUGAGCACCACAUUACAGCAAUGAGCUCUCUCUCUCUCUUUCAUUCUGGGAGUUUGUAAUGCCUUCAGCGGAUGCCCCCUACUUUUCUCUUAUCCUAAUAAAAAACGGAAAAUCACUUGGGCUUUGUUCCUCAAUUACAUAUUCACCAAGUUAACUCUGACAUGGGAAAAGUAAAGUUCUAGGUGUACAUUUCUAAUUAAAAUACCAUUCCAAUUACGAUCUUGAAAUCAGAAUCCUACUGUGUAGUGGUUUAUUAUGAAAUGCAUCUGAACAAAGCAACACAGCCCUCCACCCCCUUUUUAUUUUUCUUGUCUCUUCAGCAAAAUAAUAAGCUCAGAACACCAAACUAAUCAGAAAUAGCAUAUCAGAGUGAAUGAGAGCAUGUCUAAGUCCCCUGAAGGCAUAAUAAUGAUAGUACUUGCUAAGGUCACUAUUUUAAUUUCAAACUACAGCAACAACUCUUUAAAAAAAUAAAUUCACAACCAAGAACUUAGUAUUAGCACAGUGUCACAGCAUAUUUACAGAUGUUAUAUCAUGUCUGAGUACUGAAAAUAACCCCAGAGUGAAUAGCUUCAAUUGCCUAAAUACAGGAACUCAUUUAGACCAUAGAGAACAAUCAACCAGAAAUCAUAAAUACUCUGGAUAACAGAAGUCACCAAUCAUCAUCCAAUUACCUGAAUAGAUAGGCUGGGUGCUUUUAGAAAGAGAGUUGUUGUGUUAAUUCUUGUCUGUUUCUUUGCCUGUAAGGUCUUCAAAAAAUAAUAAAUCUGAUCUUGAAAUAAAUAAGGUUUCAACUUCUCUUAUACUUUAUUAUAAUUCUUAGCAGAUUAGACUUGGUAAGACUCUUAGCAUUUUAAAUCUUAAAAUACAGUCUUUAAAUAAGCUUGUCUUUGCUGACCUGUCACCUCUAAGUUAUUUGCAGAGAACUUUGAUUAAGUAGCAUUAACUAAGUCUCUUCCUUAAAUGAUUUGGAAAAAUGCAACUUUAAAUAGGUCAUUAAAAAAAAAAAAAAAACACCAAAAACUUUCUGCACUACUUUCCACAUCUCUUCCCUACAGUCUGCCUUAAUAGGUAAAGCCCUGUCUGCAUUUGCAAGGGGUUGCAGCCCUUACUGCCAACACAGACAAGGUGUUCAGUUAGACAGGUUCUGUCAGAGACCUCAAAGCUUUCAGUGUGGACCCUCUGCCUACUGGAAAUAAUGUAUUUUACAUGGAAAGCAUCUUUCUCGCUCCCAACUCCUAUGAUCUCAGUAAAUUUUUGAGUUCUGUACAGCAUACUCAGAGCUCUCUGCAAUCCUAUUUCAUUAGUGAGUGGGGUAGCCUUUUUCAGCUAUAGGUCAUGCCAGAGAUUUUACACCUACCUUUGUUCCCCACUUGCCUCCAGGAAAAUGCCAUUGUAUCAAAACAGAUUUGUUAUUCUCUCUCUCUCUCUCUCUUUUUUUUUUUUUUUGGUAGGAAUACACUGAAGUUCCCUUUUUGUGUUUUGUAGUUAUGAUUGGGGCCAACAGCUAGUUGCAGUUUAAUCAUAACACCAACAGGAGUUUUAAAUGGCUUAUGUUUCUAUAGCUCGUCAAUGGUCUACGAAAAAAGCCCCACUAUGUGAAAUUAAAUUAAUCUGCAAAACUAGCCUGGUAAGCCUAUGAAGCACAUCUCUUUUGAAUCCUGUUUUGUAGCAAGCUAGAAAAAGCUUAGGGGUAGAGCACUAUUUUAAUUUCUUACAUUCUCACUUUCGACAGAGGCAUUCAAAAAUAAACAACUCAAUUUUUUUUUUUUUCAAAUUGCAAGUAAAGUCUGAUCUUGGCCUUGAGCAGGAUUCUGAUCAUUUUUGUCAAGUCCCUUUCAAUAGUCAGUUGCCACUAACAGACUUCAACCUCUACUACAAAUGGCAAAUAGUCACAGAAGUUUUUAAAGCAGUACGUGAAAUUAGGCUCUGUCUCUGACAAACUGGCAACCUAGUAUUGAAAAUCUUUUGUGAUAAUCAGUGGCUCCCAUAGUCCCAGAAUCUCCAGAGAAGUACAUGUUACUGAGGGAAGAUAACAAUCAACACAAUUUCAUUAGAAAAUGCAUUUCUUUUACCUUUGUGAACUGCAUAUACAACAAAAAGUUGCCAUUUCUGUUUACGUGGCAGGUAUAUCACAUUUCAUUCUGUUGGUUGUGCAUUGGGAAGUAACCUACAGCAGAAGUGAAAUGACUGCAUGUAUUUACUUUGCAAUAAAAACACCUUUCUUGAAACAUUUUCAGCUGACCUUUUUUGGUCCUGUUAACUAGAAAAGGAGUUGUUACCGAGAUUGGUUUAGAUGCAAUAAUUGCUUAAACAUGACAUUUAGGAUUCUCUCAGAGGUGAGAUGCAAUAAGGCACCUUUUCCCAAUCAGUGAGCAACGACUUAUAUGUCUUUCCAUUCUCCUUAUCCUCAACCAUUUCUC
ensembl:lncRNA